UACGUAGGGCGCAAGCGUUGUCCGGAAUUAUUGGGCGUAAAGAGCUCGUAGGCGGUUGGUCGCGUCUGCUGUGAAACCCCGAGGCUCAACCUCGGGCCUGCAGUGGGUACGGGCCAGCUAGAGUGCGGUAGGGGAGAUCGGAAUUCCUGGUGUAGCGGUGGAAUGCGCAGAUAUCAGGAGGAACACCAAUGGCGAAGGCAGAUCUCUGGGCCGUAACUGACGCUGAGGAGCGAAAGCGUGGGGAGCGAACAGG
rnacentral:rRNA from 1 species